AUACUCAUCAACCUCUACACCUGCCCCGACCCAUUUCUUGGUGAAAUACCUUGUUGAUUCUCUCGGAUUCUCCGAUGAAGAAGCUGCCUCUACAUCCUCCAAGGUAACUUCAUUGAAAAACUUAAAGAAUCCUCAUUUAGUCAUCAAUUUCUUGAAACAAACUGGUUUCCACAACACCCAGGUGAAAAAACUGGUUUUUAUGGCACCCAAAUUGCUAUACCAUGAUGUUAACAAAACCCUAAAACCCAAAUUCCAGUGCCUUAUGGAUCUCGGGCUAUCCGGGUCGGACCUGGCGAAGUUAACCACUAAAGAUACAACAAUUGUUGAAAAAGGUUUAGUUACUCAUUUGAGACCUACCAUUGAUUUCCUUAGGAAAAUUAUGGGUAGUGAUGAAGAUGUAGUUAAGGCUAUAAAGAAAAGUUCUUGGUUGAUUUCUUUUAAUGCUCAUCAAAUUAUGAAGAAUAAUGUAGUGUUAUUGAGAAACUCUGGUGUUUCUGAUGUCAAAAUAAG
rnacentral:misc_RNA from 1 species